rnacentral:rRNA from 1 species
GAUGAACGCUAGCGGCAGGCUUAAUACAUGCAAGUCGAGGGGUAGCAAGAUUGUAGCAAUACAAUUGUUGACGACCGGCAAACGGGUGCGGAACACGUACACAACCUUCCUACAAGUGGGGAAUAGCCCAGAGAAAUUUGGAUUAAUACCCCGUAACAUAGCGAUGUGGCAUCACAUUGCUAUUAUAGCUUCGGCGCUUGUUGAUGGGUGUGCGGCUGAUUAGAUAGUUGGCGGGGUAACGGCCCACCAAGUCCACGAUCAGUAGCUGAUGUGAGAGCAUGAUCAGCCACACGGGCACUGAGACACGGGCCCGACUCCUACGGGAGGCAGCAGUAAGGAAUAUCGGACAAUGGACGCAAGUCUGAUCCAGCCAUGCCGCGUGAAGGAUUAAGGUCCUCUGGAUUGUAAACUUCUUUUAUAAGGGACGAAAAAAGGCCUUUCUAGAUCGUCUGACGGUACCUUAUGAAUAAGCACCGGCUAACUCCGUGCCAGCCGCCGCGGUAACAC